AUUCUACUCCCUCCGUUGCACAAUACAUGCCUUCUAUUUGUCAAAAUAUAUAUGUAUCUAGACAUGCCUUAGUAUAUAGGUACAUCCAUUUUUGGACAAAUGGAAGUCAAGUAUUUUGGAACGGAGGGAGUACACA
rnacentral:pre_miRNA from 1 species